rnacentral:lncRNA from 10 species
UGGGACUACAGGCGCCCGCCAUCACGCCCGGCUAAUUUUUUGUAUUUUUAGUAGAGACGGGGUUUCACCGUGUUAGCCAGGAUGGUCUCGAGCUCCUGACCUCAUGAUCCGCCCGCCUCGGCCUCCCAAAGUGCUGGGAUUACAGGCGUGAGUCACAGCGCCCGGCGAGUUCAUACUGCUAUUUUUAAUUCAAAUUCGGACAACAGGGCUAAGGUGGACACUUAGGUGGCCAAUGAAUCUCUUCCUAUAUUGGACUUGAAACUUAGAAAAUUACACAGUAAAGCAACAAAGCUCAAGAAAUGUACAAAACCAUGUUUGAUGCCACAAGGAACAGGAAAAGUGAAGCAUCAUAUGAAGAAGUAAUACAUUAAUCAAGCCAACAUGGGAAGGAGAAAACAGAUGAAAUAUAGUCAAGCCAUGGGCUUCGACAAAGUUCUCAGAGAAACAGACUCCCAGACGACGCUGGCCAUUCCCUGGCAACGGCCAGGUUUGCCAUUAUCCAGCCACUCUGAGACCUGUUAUCAGGCCUGAGGUGAGUCUUAAGAAGUCAGGGAUAAAGUCAGAGGUCUUGGGGUGCAGUGCCCUAGCUUUCUAAUAUUGGGAGCUCCCCUUGCUAAGUGAGAAAGACUCCCAAUUGACCCACUCUCUUCCAUCCAACUUGGGACAUUGGCUCUGUUUCCACCUGAUACACAGGGCCUGAUGGUCAGGUCCAGGACUCCUACAGAUGUGCAUCUGUGGCACAGGAUUGUGGGCAAAAGCUUCACAAUACCCAAAUCCCUUAAGCUCCUGUAAGUCACAGGAGAUGGGGAAACUACCCACUUCAUUCUUGGAGUUCCAGGAAGGCCUUAAUUCUGAGGCCUACAGUUUCCAGGGUGCUAAGAAGGGAGUAAAUUUAUCUCUGGGAGCGUCCUCACUACAUCCCACUGCAGGUUCUGAAAGAUGUCCUUGUUACAGAGACUGAGGGAAGUCUCUACUCCCCCUCACCUCUGCUCCCAACUCUGUCCUUCCCCUACUUGCAGCCUCUGUUGGUUGAUUUAUGCCAGAUCUCUUAACUUCUAUGUAUGCAAACCAGUGUGAGGCUCAAGCCCUCUAAUAGAGGCCCCUUAAGGUGGCUUCUUAGCCCUAUGUUGUUUUAACCUCUAGAUGCCAUGGGACUCCCUCCAGGAACUCUUUUAUGAUGAUAGUACAUUGAACAUAAAGGAAGAUAUAGAUACACGAAAAUGUUAAGUUGCAGAAGAGGAAAGAUGGGGGAGCUCACAUAAGAUGGCUUCAAUCUUCUCAGUGGAGGAGGAUUGGAGGUAAUUUGCUUUUAAUUAAGAGGACAGAGUAGUGUUAGAGGGCCCAGGAAACUUAAAAAAAAGGCUUGGAAUGACAGGCUGAGGGAAAUUAUGAGAUUCAACAUAUUAAUACAACUCUACUCAACAAUAGUUGAAGACCCAGGAUGGGUGAGUACAGUGUCUUCAGUAGAGAUUUCUUUAUUCCUCUAGAAAAGCUGGACAGUCUAAAAGUAGGAGCAGAGAAAAAUGACACUGAGUUGUACCCUGACCUGGGAGAUGCCAUGUGGGAAUAGCAGAAGAUAAAAAGUCCUAGGGAUACUAGAGGUGGUAGAGACAUCUUUCAAUGUUGUGACUAUCACACAAGAAACAAAGCAGCAGGGGAGGAAGAUAAUGAGAGCCAAAUGAUUUGGUUUGAGUUCAAGGUUUUAAAGAAAUAACAGUUGGGGGUGAUUUUACAGAGAGGUUGAAGUGUAAUUAAGAUCAAAGUCACUGGUGAAUGUAAAAAAAUAUGUUGUGAAGCCAAGACUUUAACAGGUUGUUCAGGAAUAGAAUUGUGAGUAAAACAAAAGCAAAAUUAAAUAUCAUCUCCAGCACACCACCACCACCGCUACCACUCAUCACCACCAACACUAACAGCAAGAACACAAUCUGUUUGCCACAUGUGUAAAGCACUAGGAAAUUUAGCAGAGUGUCCCAGAGGGUGAAGCAUAAAUUAAAUAAAGGGAGUGGAUUAUUCGAAUUAUAUGAAUUCCAAAAGGAGAAGUUGUUGAAGGAUGGGGGUAACAAUAUUCGCUGGAGUAAAAGUGAGUUACAUAGAGUCCAUUUGUGAAAAAUACCAUGUUAUCAGGUUUCAUAUGAAUGAAAGAUGUCAAAAGAGUGUUUGAAAAAAAUUUCUGAAGGGUGUUUAUGGGACAGAGGAGAGGGCUGGGCAAAAAGUAGUAAGAGAGGAAUUGGCCUGGAAUUGAUGAUGCUAUAAAUGAGAGAAGGCAAGAAGUAAUAGUGGUGAAAGAUUUGGAAGGGGCUUUGGAGAGAAAUGAAAGUAAAAGAGAAGGAGAAAAACAAAAUAAGGCUACUCUUGGGGAGGAUCACAGAAGGCUAGUAGAAGGGCAUUUAUCUGGAAAUCUGAACAGCAAAAGCAUUCAAAUAAAGCAAUUGUUAUAAAAGGAUUAUGUGUGGUCAUCCAUUAAAAAAGAAGUCAUACCAAUGUACUGUUUAAAAAUGAUUUGCUGGAGUACUGAGGCUAAGUAAUGGUGUGAUGCAGAAACAGUGGUCCCUAAAAACUUGGUUUGUGAUGGCAAGUUCACCUAAGUCAUGGGAUAUAGAAUCCAAGUAUGGACUUUAAGACAAGCAACACUGUAACUAAUAAUAUUUGAGAAAUCAGAAAUGAUGGUUCCUAGUUGUUAUAUCUUAGCAGGUAAAAAAAGUGUUUCAAUGUGUUGAAUUACUAAUAGGCAGAUAUCUAAUUUUUAAUAGAUAGGCAGAAAAUUUCACUAACAGAUAUUUUAACUCUUGAUUUUUCUAUGUAUCUAAAAAUAGAUAUUUUCCUAAAAGUAAUUUAAUGCUUUGAAACAUUAAAAUUACACACACACACACACACACACAAACACACACACACACUUUGUUACUCUGUAGGAGAUGGAAAAUCCAAGAGCUAAAAUUUGGGAGAUGGCAGGGCUACAUCACAUUAAGUGGUAGAAGCAAAAGGCCCUUUGGGAAUAAAUGUAUCUAACUCCAGAAAUACUGUUACUCUUGAAACAGAUCAGAUCCUGUUCAUUUCAGGUAAAUGAUCUUUGAAAUCAGUUUCAAGUUUCUAGUCAAGAAAGUAGAUAUGAGAUUCUACCUCUAUAAAUUUACCUCCCAUUACAAAAUGAGCAAUAGUAAUAUUGUUUUAGGAGCCACAACUAUUUUUAGUUCAAGUAACAUCUUAUGUAGCAUCUUUGAGAACUCAUUUUUUUCCAUGCAAAUAGUCUAACUAUUUAAGGAAUAUAGAGAGCACAAAACAUGGGUAAAGACAUACUGUUUCGGGCUGGGCAUGGUGGCUCACGCCUGUAAUCCUAGCACUUUGGGAGGCACAGGCAGGCAGAUUGCCUGAGCUCAAGGGUUCGAGACUAGCCUGGUCAACAUGGUGAGACCCUGUCUCUAUUAAAUUACAAAAAAAAUUACCUGGGUGUGGCGGCAUGCACCUGUAAUCCUAGCUACUUGGGAGGCUGAGGCAGGAGAAUUGCUUGAACCCAGGAGGUGGAGCUUGCAGUGAGCUGAGAUCGCGCCACUGCACUCCAGCCUGGGCAACAGGGUGAGACUCCAUCUUAAAAAAAAAAAAAAAAGGACAUACUGUUUCUCUAACUUUUGCGAUGUGUUUCACAUUUUGAUGUAAUUGACUUCGCUUAUGUUUUGGAGUUUUUGUUGUCCCUCCACCUGCCUUGGAAGACUUGUAGAAAAUCAGAAUUUUGUGAGAUUCCAAUGCAAAGGAAAUCAUUUAGUUUUACUUUAAGCAACUCUUAAGUAGGCAAGAGUAUUAGGAUUCUCCAGAGAAACAGAACUAAAUAUGUCUAUAUAUGUAUAUAAAAUAUAUACUUCUAUGUAAAUCUAUAUUGUACAUGCAAACACACACACGCACCCACACAUGCGUGUGCACACACACACAGAGAAAGUAAAAAAGUGGUUCACAUUAUUGUGGAGGCUGGAGUCCCAAGAUCUGCAGUGGGCAAGCUGAAAAUACAGGGGAAGUCAUGGUAUAAGAUUUAGUCCAAGUUGGAAGGGCUGAGAACUCAGAGUCAAUGAUUAAGUUCCAGCCUGAGGGCUAGAGAAGAUCAAUGUCUCAGCUCAAGCUGUCAGGCAGGCUAAGUAUCCUCUUAACGCAACCAUUUUGCUCUAUUCUGAUAUUCAGUUGAUUAAAUGAGACCCACACUCAUUGGAGAAGGCAAGCCACUUUACUCAAUUUACCAAUUCAAGUGUUACUAUCACCCAGAAACAUCCUCACAAAAACGCCCAGAAUAAUGUUUGACCAAAUGUUGGGAACCCCAUUGCCCAGUCAAAUGAACCCAUAAAAUUAAUGAUCACAAUUGGAGAAAUAAUCAUUUGUAACUGCUGUGCCAAAUUCUUUCUGUAGUUUUGUCUAUACCAUGGCUAGACAUGUGCAUGAAAGAUAUUUCAUAUUGAAAGAUAAAUAUAUUUAAAGAAUAAAUAUCAUUAUGAAAAACUUGCUUAAGACUGGUAUUAUCGUGAGUGUGUGUGUGUGUGUGUGUGUGUGUGUGUGUGAGUUGGGAUCUCUCUCUGUCUCUCAGGCUGGAAUGCAGUGGUUCUAUCAUGGCUCGUGGCAGCCUCAAACUUCUGGGCUCAAGCAAUUCUCCCAUCUCAUCAUCCCAAGUAGCUACGACUACAAGUGCAUGUCACCAUGUCUAGCUAAAGUUGUUUCUUUUUAUUUUUGUACAGGCAGGAUCUUGCUAUGUUGCCCAGGCUGGUUUUGAACUUCUGGCCUAAAGUGAUCCUCCUGCCUUGGCCUCCCAAAGUGCUGGGAUUACAGACGUGACUCAUCGUGCCCAUCCUCCUAUUAUCUUUUUAACAUUUUUGCUUUCUUUGAGAUUUUAUAUACUACAAAGAAUGUCAAGUUGGGUAGAUUUAUUGUAAAUAGAAUAAGGUAUCUCUGGAUUUGUGUUUAUAGCAUUAAAGACUUCAAUAAAGAUUUAUACAUUAUAUCUG